CAAGAGACCGUGAUCGGUGAUAACCGAUCAUACAUUUUUUCACGGAAAUUGGCAGAUUAUGAUCGGUGGCCGAUCAAUCCACCUCUAAAUUUAACACUAAGCUAGUUAACAAGGAUAGACUACUAGUCUGGUUAUCCAUCUUCCGAGCUGGGAAGUAGUGGUUACAUUUGCUUGAGUAACAUUUUUGACUGCUAUGGUCCGAGCUUUGUUUGUUUUGUUUUUCUUUUUCGUUUUUUUUGGUGUGCCUGCUGCUUCCCUCCCCUUCCACCAGGUGCCGCCGGUUGGCUAGGUCCCUGGAGAUAAGCGGUCACUGACCCGUCUACUUGGAGAAGGCUGCUAUGGAGCAUUUAAGAAGCAGCUGGCCGACACUUCAGUGCCUGAGUGUUUGCUUCCUAUGGUGAUUCCUGUCGUUUUACUGAGAACCCCAGUGACACUAUUGCUUCCUGGAUUUUCCUGUGUGUCGUCACACUCCAAGCACUCAUCCCUCUCAGUCCUACCCCAGAGGAUUCCCUUCGAGACGCCACAGGUCUUACCUGUAGGUUGCUAGAAGCUYUGGGAUCAAGGUUCCUCCUGGACCCCGUCGGCCAACAGUUCCUCCGUCUCUCUGCGGCAAGUACUUACCUGAUCCUCCCUCCAACGUUCCCUGCCUCAUCAGCCUUCCGGCACCGGGACCUCCUCAUCCUUGACGACAAGUUUAGGCUCUCUGCCUCACCGUCCAGAACACCAAAGAUGUUGCCAUGAGGCCUGCUACCCUGGGAUGUCUCUCAGUUUUCCUCGACAACGAUGGAGGAGAGUUCUACAAAGCCUCUUGAUUCAGAUGCCAUGGCAAACUUCAUCCAGGUUCCUGUGGGGUUAUUGACUGUUAUGUUAUGCUAAGUAUAUCAUUUUGUUAAAAUAAAACGCUGAAUCUUGUAAAUGUAAUAUCUGUGCCUGUCUUAGGAUGAACUAUUUUGAAGUUUCGUGUUACUAAUUAAACACUGACAUAAAAUGUUUUGUUUAAACUAUUAAUUGAAACUAGCUUAAAUGGAUGUUCAAAUGUGUUGCCAUCUGGCAAGAGUUUAUACUUUUUGUAGUAAAGUGCCUGCACAUGGUAAAGAGAAUGGAUAACAAUUUUGAAAAUACAGUUCUGUUGUACCCUUUCUUAUUGUUGAGUGUUCUUUCUCCCCGUCACCCAGUGUGGUCUUAAAACACUUAAUUUAGUA